GGGGAAUAUUGCACAAUGGGGGAAACCCUGAUGCAGCAACGCCGCGUGAAGGAUGAAGGCCUUUGGGUCGUAAACUUCUGUCCUAAGGGAAGAUAAUGACGGUACCUUUGGAGGAAGCCCCGGCUAACUACGUGCCAGCAGCCGCGGUAAUACGUAGGGGGCGAGCGUUAUCCGGAAUUAUUGGGCGUAAAGAGUGCGUAGGCGGUUUUUUAAGCGCGGGGUGAAAGGCAGUGGCUUAACCACUGUUAGCCCUGCGAACUGGGAGACUUGAGUGCAGGAGAGGAAAGCGGAAUUCCUAGUGUAGCGGUGAAAUGCGUAGAUAUUAGGAGGAACACCAGUGGCGAAGGCGGCUUUCUGGACUGUAACUGACGCUG
rnacentral:rRNA from 1 species